CGCUCUUUUAACAAUAUGGUUCACAUGCUCGUUCCAUUUCAAAUCAUCUUGGAUUGAGAGACCAAGAAUUCGGGCAGAUUUUACCCGCUCAAUACCAACGUUAUUUAUAGUUAACGGUAAAAACUCAUGUUUUUCUCUUGCAAAGUCAAUUACCAUUUCCUUACAUUUGCCGAUAUUGAGCUUCAUAUUAUUAACUUCACACCAAUUAUAGAUAACAUUCACUAGAUCUUGUAGUUCACUACUCUCAGUUGAUGUAACUCGUUCAGCAAACGUACUGUCAUCAACAUACUUCCAUCUAUCGCUCCAAUCAAUAAG